rnacentral:rRNA from 1 species
AGUGAACGCUGGCGGUAGGCCUAACACAUGCAAGUCGAACGGCAGCACAGUAAGAGCUUGCUCUUACGGGUGGCGAGUGGCGGACGGGUGAGGAAUACAUCGGAAUCUACUUUUUCGUGGGGGAUAACGUAGGGAAACUUACGCUAAUACCGCAUACGACCUACGGGUGAAAGCAGGGGAUCUUCGGACCUUGCGCGAGUGAAUGAGCCGAUGUCGGAUUAGCUAGUUGGCGGGGUAAAGGCCCACCAAGGCGACGAUCCGUAGCUGGUCUGAGAGGAUGAUCAGCCACACUGGAACUGAGGCACGGUCCAGACUCCUACGGGAGGCAGCAGUGGGGAAUAUUGGACAAUGGGCGCAAGCCUGAUCCAGCCAUACCGCGUGGGUGAAGAAGGCCUUCGGGUUGUAAAGCCCUUUUGUUGGGAAAGAAAAGCAGCAGGUUAAUACCCCGCUGUUCUGACGGUACCCAAAGAAUAAGCACCGGCUAACUUCGUG